rnacentral:rRNA from 1 species
AACGUAGGAGGCGAGCGUUAUCCGGAUUUACUGGGCGUAAAGCGCGUGCAGGCGGUUCGGCAAGUUGGAUGUGAAAGCUCCCGGCUCAACUGGGAGAGGUCGUUCAAUACUACCGAACUUGAGGGCAUCAGAGGAAGGUGGAAUUCCGGGUGUAGUGGUGAAAUGCGUAGAUAUCCGGAGGAACACCAGUGGCGAAGGCGACCUUCUGGGAUGUUCCUGACGCUCAGACGCGAAGGCUAGGGUAGCAAACGGG